rnacentral:rRNA from 1 species
AACGCUAGCUACAGGCUUAACACAUGCAAGUCGAGGGGCAGCAUGGUCUUAGCUUGCUAAGGCCGAUGGCGACCGGCGCACGGGUGAGUAACACGUAUCCAACCUGCCGUCUACUCUUGGACAGCCUUCUGAAAGGAAGAUUAAUACAAGAUGGCAUCAUGAGUCCGCAUGUUCACAUGAUUAAAGGUAUUCCGGUAGACGAUGGGGAUGCGUUCCAUUAGAUAGUAGGCGGGGUAACGGCCCACCUAGUCUUCGAUGGAUAGGGGUUCUGAGAGGAAGGUCCCCCACAUUGGAACUGAGACACGGUCCAAACUCCUACGGGAGGCAGCAGUGAGGAAUAUUGGUCAAUGGGCGAGAGCCUGAACCAGCCAAGUAGCGUGAAGGAUGACUGCCCUAUGGGUUGUAAACUUCUUUUAUAAAGGAAUGAAGUCGGGUAUGUAUACCCGUUUGCAUGUACUUUAUGAAUAAGGAUCGGCUAACUCCGUGCCAGCAGCCGCGGUAAUACGGAGGAUCCGAGCGUUAUCCGGAUUUAUUGGGUUUAAAGGGAGCGUAGAUGGAUGUUUAAGUCAGUUGUGAAAGUUUGCGGCUCAACCGUAAAAUUGCAGUUGAUACUGGAUAUCUUGAGUGCAGUUGAGGCAGGCGGAAUUCGUGGUGUAGCGGUGAAAUGCUUAGAUAUCACGAAGAACUCCGAUUGCGAAGGCAGCCUGCUAAGCUGCAACUGACAUUGAGGCUCGAAAGUGUGGGUAUCAAACAGGAUUAGAUACCCUGGUAGUCCACACGGUAAACGAUGAACACUCGCUGUUUGCGAUAUACUGCAAGCGGCCAAGCGAAAGCGUUAAGUAUUC